ACUCAAAUGAAUAGACGGGGGCCCGCACAAGCAGCGGAGCGUGUGGUUUAAUUCGAGGCUACGCGAAGAACCUUACCUGGGUUUGACAUCACAUGGGACGAAGGUGAAAGCCGGAGGUUCCCGCAAGGGACUGUGUGACAGGUGCUGCAUGGCUGUCGUCAGCUCGUGCCGUGAGGUGUUCGGUUAAGUCCGCAAACGAGCGCAACCCCCGGGGUUAGUUACAGGUGUCUAACCCGACUGCCCGUGGCAAACGGGAGGAAGGUGGGGAUGAUGUCAAGUCAGCAUGGCCUUUAUAUCCAGGGCGACACACACGCUACAAUGGCGGAUACAAUGGGUAGCGAACCCGUGAGGGGGAGCCAAUCCUGCAAAGUCCGUCUCAGUUCGGAUUGCAGGCUGCAACCCGCCUGCAUGAAGUUGGAGUUGCUAGUAACCGCGCGUCAGCACAGUGCGGUGAAUACGUUCCCGGGCCUUGUACACACCGCCCGU
rnacentral:rRNA from 1 species